UACGAAGGGAGCUAGCGUUGUUCGGAAUCACUGGGCGUAAAGCGCACGUAGGCGGAUCUUUAAGUCAGGGGUGAAAUCCCGAGGCUCAACCUCGGAACUGCCUUUGAUACUGGGGAUCUCGAGUCCGGGAGAGGUGAGUGGAACUGCGAGUGUAGAGGUGAAAUUCGUAGAUAUUCGCAAGAACACCAGUGGCGAAGGCGGCUCACUGGCCCGGAACUGACGCUGAGGUGCGAAAGCGUGGGGAGCAAACAGG
rnacentral:rRNA from 1 species